rnacentral:rRNA from 1 species
UACAGAGGGGGCAAGCGUUAUUCGGAAUUAUUGGGCGUAAAGGGCGCGUAGGCGGCUUUGCAAGUGACGGGUGAAAUCCCUCGGCUUAACCGAGGAACUGCCUGUCAGACUGCAUGGCUUGAGACCGGGAGAGGUGAGUGGAAUUCCCAGUGUAGCGGUGAAAUGCGUAGAUAUUGGGAGGAACACCAGUGGCGAAGGCGGCUCACUGGACCGGUACUGACGCUGAGGCGCGAAAGCGUGGGUAGCAAACAGG